rnacentral:rRNA from 1 species
UGGGGAAUAUUGCACAAUGGGCGCAAGCCUGAUGCAGCCAUGCCGCGUGUAUGAAGAAGGCCUUCGGGUUGUAAAGUACUUUCAGUCGGGAGGAAGGUGGUAAGGUUAAUAACCUUAUCAAUUGACGUUACCGACAGAAGAAGCACCGGCUAACUCCGUGCCAGCAGCCGCGGUAAUACGGAGGGUGCAAGCGUUAAUCGGAAUUACUGGGCGUAAAGCGCACGCAGGCGGUUGAUUGAGUCAGAUGUGAAAUCCCCGGGCUUAACCCGGGAAAUGGAUCUGGUACUGGUCAGGUAAGGGCCUGUAGGGGGGGGUAGAAUUCCAUGUGGAGCGGUGGAAUGCGUAGAGAUGUGGAGGAAUACCGGUGGCGAAGGCGGCCCCCUGGACAAAGACUGACGCUCAGGUGCGAAAGCGUGGGGAGCAAACAGG